UACGUAGGGGGCUAGCGUUGUCCGGACUUACUGGGCGUAAAGGGCUCGUAGGUGGCCAACUAAGUCAGACGUGAAAUCCCUCAGCUUAACUGGGGAACUGCGUCUGAUACUGGAUGGCUUGAGUUUGGGAGAGGGAUGCGGAAUUCCAGGUGUAGCGGUGAAAUGCGUAGAUAUCUGGAGGAACACCGGUGGCGAAGGCGGCAUCCUGGACCAACACUGACGCUGAGGCGCGAAAGCUAGGGUAGCAAACGGG
rnacentral:rRNA from 1 species